rnacentral:rRNA from 1 species
UACGGAGGGGACUAGCGUUGUUCGGAAUUACUGGGCGUAAAGCGCACGUAGGCGGAUUUGUUAGUCAGGGGUGAAAUCCCUCGGCUUAACCGGGGAACUGCGUCUGAUACUGGAUGGCUUGAGAUUGGGAGAGGGAUGCGGAAUUCCAGGUGUAGCGGUGAAAUGCGUAGAUAUCUGGAGGAACACCGGUGGCGAAGGCGGCAUCCUGGACCAAUACUGACGCUGAGUGAGCGAAAGCCAGGGGAGCAAACGGG